rnacentral:rRNA from 1 species
GUCCAGACUCCUACGGGAGGCAGCAGUGGGGAAUAUUGCACAAUGGGGGAAACCCUGAUGCAGCGACGCCGCGUGAGCGAUGAAGUAUUUCGGUAUGUAAAGCUCUAUCAGCAGGGAAGAAGAUGACGGUACCUGACUAAGAAGCCCCGGCUAACUACGUGCCAGCAGCCGCGGUAAUACGUAGGGGGCAAGCGUUAUCCGGAUUUACUGGGUGUAAAGGGAGCGUAGACGGCGGCGCAAGCCAGAUGUGAAAGCCCGGGGCUCAACUCCGGGACUGCAUUUGGAACUGUGUGGCUGGAGUGUCGGAGAGGCAGGCGGAAUUCCUAGUGUAGCGGUGAAAUGCGUAGAUAUUAGGAGGAACACCAGUGGCGAAGGCGGCCUGCUGGACGAUGACUGACGUUGAGGCCCGAAAGCGUGGGGAGCAAACAGGAUUAGAUACCCUGGUAU